CGUAACGACAGCUCACACAUGCAGUCGAACGAUGAAGCCCAGCUUGCUGGGUGGAUUAGUGGCGAACGGGUGAGUAACACGUGAGUAACCUGCCCUUAACUCUGGGAUAAGCCUGGGAAACUGGGUCUAAUACCGGAUAGGAGCGCCUACCGCAUGGUGGGUGUUGGAAAGAUUUAUCGGUUUUGGAUGGACUCGCGGCCUAUCAGCUUGUUGGUGAGGUAAUGGCUCACCAAGGCGACGACGGGUAGCCGGCCUGAGAGGGUGACCGGCCACACUGGGACUGAGACACGGCCCAGACUCCUACGGGAGGCAGCAGUGGGGAAUAUUGCACAAUGGGCGAAAGCCUGAUGCAGCGACGCCGCGUGAGGGAUGACGGCCUUCGGGUUGUAAACCUCUUUCAGUAGGGAAGAAGCGAAAGUGACGGUACCUGCAGAAGAAGCACCGGCUAACUACGUGCCAGCAGCCGCGGUAAUACGUAGGGUGCGAGCGUUAUCCGGAAUUAUUGGGCGUAAAGAGCUCGUAGGCGGUUUGUCGCGUCUGUCGUGAAAGUCCGGGGCUUAACCCCGGAUCUGCGGUGGGUACGGGCAGACUAGAGUGCAGUAGGGGAGACUGGAAUUCCUGGUGUAGCGGUGGAAUGCGCAGAUAUCAGGAGGAACACCGAUGGCGAAGGCAGGUCUCUGGGCUGUAACUGACGCUGAGGAGCGAAAGCAUGGGGAGCGAACAGGAUUAGAUACCCUGGUAGUCCAUGCCGUAAACGUUGGGGCACUAUGUGUGGGGACCAUUCCACGGUUUUCCCGCGCCCGCAGCUAACGCAUUAGUGCCCCGCCCUGGGGAGUACGGCCCGGCAUGGCUAGAACUCAAUGGUAUGAACCGGGGGUCCGCACCAAGCCGGGGUCGGGGAGUGCAAUCCCUGGCCGGGUUGGGGGUAUCGGGGGCAGGCGGAGCAUGCGGAUUAAUUCGAUGCAACGCGAAGAACCUUACCAAGGCUUGACAUGUUCUCGAUCGCCGUAGAGAUACGGUUUCCCCUUUGGGGCGGGUUCACAGGUGGUGCAUGGUUGUCGUCAGCUCGUGUCGUGAGAUGUUGGGUUAAGUCCCGCAAGAGCGCAACCCCGUUCCAUGUUGCCAGCACGUCGUGGUGGGGACUCAUGGGAGACUGCCGGGGUCAACUCGGAGGAAGGUGAGGACGACGUCAAAUCAUCAUGCCCCUUAUGUCUUGGGCUUCACGCAUGCUACAAUGGCCGGUACAAUGGGUUGCGAUACUGUGAGGUGGAGCUAAUCCCAAAAAGCCGGUCUCAGUUCGGAUUGGGGUCUGCAACUCGACCCCAUGAAGUCGGAGUCGCUAGUAAUCGCAGAUCAGCAACGCUGCGGUGAAUACGUUCCCGGGCCUUGUACACACCGCCCGUCAAGUCACGAAAGUUGGUAACACCCGAAGCCGGUGGCCUAACCCUUGUGGGGGGAGCCGUCGAAGGUGGGACCAGCGAUUGGGACUAAGUCUAGAAGUAGUCG
rnacentral:rRNA from 1 species